GGAGUAUCACAAAUAUCAAAAACACAGCUCCUAGCUAUAACUCGAAUUGGCUUGGGUUCAUCGAGAGGAAUCCAGGGGAGAAGGCAAACAGAAACCUGUGUUCCACAAGGCUGACCCGAAGACAGCGAGCACCAAAAGAACAACACGAUGAACUCUCUCUCAUGCUUUGAAAAGAAAGGACAAAUCCCUUCAUUUCUCCUAACACCAAAAGGUCUACAUCAUCCUUUAUGAGAGGGUCUGCAGUCGAGGAAGAAUGCAGCACAGAACAUACAGAUUGAGCUGCUGGCACAUGGGACUAUACACUUUCAGCUGUCAAGCACAUGGGCCUCUUGCCAAAAGUCACAGCCUGCCUUUCAAAGGCAAAAAUAUUUUGUUCAAUCUGUUUUCCAAGAACCCCACCAACCAUUCAAAGCACCAAA